CAAAAAAUGAGCAUCCAUUGAUGGGACAUCAUUUAGUUCCCAGCAGACUCCAGAUAGAAGUUUUUUCCAGAUGUAAAGUGAAUUGAUGAAAUCUUGAAAAAGUGUUGUGAGUGUUGGUGUUGUCCAGAUAUUAAAAAUAAUUGAGCAGCUGCCAGAUGAAUGUACUUUCCAGAUGUAAACCAUCACAAAUGAUGCCUGUUUGUAUUUACCAGUGUUUAAAAAAAUGAAUUUUUGUUAUACGUGAUAUUUAAGGUUCUCUAAAUAUUUGAGAAAAUUUGUUAUUAUGCCGCUUAUUAAUUAAAAUCGCACUAUCAGUCAGUGCGUCUGUGUAAAUUCUUGUCCGGGCUGUAAC
rnacentral:lncRNA from 1 species